CGCUGUAAACGAUGAAUACUAGGUGUGGGAGGACUGACCCCUUCCGUGCCGCAGUUAACACAAUAAGUAUUCCACCUGGGGAGUACGACCGCAAGGUUGAAACUCAAAGGAAUUGACGGGGGCCCGCACAAGCAGUGGAUUAUGUGGUUUAAUUCGACGCAACGCGAAGAACCUUACCAGGACUUGACAUCCAACUAACGAAGUAGAGAUACAUUAGGUGCCCUUCGGGGAAAGUUGAGACAGGUGGUGCAUGGUUGUCGUCAGCUCGUGUCGUGAGAUGUUGGGUUAAGUCCCGCAACGAGCGCAACCCCUAUUGUUAGUUGCUACGCAAGAGCACUCUAGCGAGACUGCCGUUGACAAAACGGAGGAAGGCGGGGACGACGUCAAAUCAUCAUGCCCCUUAUGUCCUGGGCUACACACGUAAUACAAUGGCCAUCAACAAAGGGAAGCAAUACCGCGAGGUGGAGCAAAUCCCCAAAAAUGGUCUCAGUUCGGAUUGCAGGCUGCAACUCGCCUGCAUGAAGCUGGAAUUGCUAGUAAUCGUGGAUCAG
rnacentral:rRNA from 1 species